rnacentral:rRNA from 1 species
AAAACGACUCUCGGCAACGGAUAUCUAGGCUCUCGCAUCGAUGAAGAACGUAGCGAAAUGUGAUACUUGGUGUGAAUUGCAGAAUCCCGCGAAUCAUCGAGUUUUUGAACGCAAGUUGCGCCCGAAGCCAUUCGGCCGAGGGCACGUCUGCCUGGGUGUCACGC